CUUCGCGUUCUUCAGCUUCUAGCUUCUUCAGUUACUUUGUUUUAAAUCCGUUUGGUUACCUAAAAAGUGACUGAAAAGAAAUCCAUAAGAGUGAAGCGUACUUUUUUGUUGAAAACAAUUAUACAAUAAUAUGUUUUUGACAUGUUUUCUCGCCAAUGGACUGGAUAAAUGGAGUGUUUUACACCUACGGUAGAAACGCUGUUGUUAAAUUAAGAUGGAAUAGCGAGUGCGUUUUAGAUUCAAAGCAAUUUAGCUUUUUAGCCUCGAGGUAAAUUUUACUAUUAUUCUUCUUAAAAUUUUCAUUCGCGCUAUUUUGUUUAGAAAAAAAAGUAUGAUCUCUUGGAGUUUUUUGAAUAGUGUGUUAGCACGGUUCGCCUUCUUUAGUUUUGAUUGGGUCACUACAAAUCAAUUGUAUGAUUAUAUCACUAUAGCUUCAAUUUUAACAUUUUGUACUGAAUGAUCUUUGAUUACCUCGUCUGCACUG